CUGCCAUGAUGGGAAUAUUUUUCGUCAACAGCAUCUCACCCUGUGUGAAUGGUGACUCCUCUGGGCUGAGCAG
ensembl:snoRNA